rnacentral:lncRNA from 1 species
GGCUUCAUCCUUGAAACCUCAUGAACCAACAUCUGCUAGCUUCAGACUUUUCUUCUGCAGCUUCUGCAGCUUCUGCAUCUCUGUCAGCCUUUCUAGAAUUGAGGAGUUAGGGCCUUGCUCUGGAUUAGACUUCGGUUUAAGAGCAUGUUGUGGCUGGCUCAAUCUUCUAUCCAGACCACUCAAACUUUCUGCAUAUCACCAAUAAAGCUGCUUCACUUUCUUAUCAUUCAUGUGUUCACUGGAGUAGCACUUGUAAUUUCCUCCAAGAACUUUCCCUUUACAUUCACAACUUGGUGAACUAUUUGGCACAAGAGGCCUUUCAGCCUAUCUUGGCUUUUGGCAUGCCUUCCUCACUAAGCUUAAUCAUUUUCAGCGUUUAAGUGAGAGGCAUGCAACUCUUUCUUUCACUUGAACACAUAGACAACAUUGUAGGGUUAUGAAUUGACCUAAUUUAAAUAUUGCUGUGUCUUAGAAAAUAGGGAGGCCCAAGGAGAGGGAGAGAGAUGGGGACACAGCCAGUAAAUGGAGCAGUUAGAACACACACAUUUAUUGAUUAUAUUUGCCAUUUUACAUGGGUGCGGCUUUUGACAUCCUAUGACAAUUAUCAUAGUAACAUCAAAGAUCACUGAUCACAGAUCACCAUAGUAGAUAAUAAUAAUAAUGAAAAAGUUUAAAAUAUUGCAAGAAUUACCAAAAUGUGACACAAAGACAUGAAGUAAGCAUAUGCUGUUGGGAAACGGCACUGACAGACUUACUUGAUUCUGGGUUGCUACAAACCUGCAAUUUGUAAAAAAAAUGCAAUAUCUGCAAAGCACAAUAAAGCAAAGCACAAUAAAACAAGAUAAGCCUGUACUCAUAAACUUUGACAUAUCUUCAUUACAAAGGAGAAAACAGCCACUAGAUAUGAAAAGAUUUGCCCAAAGUCAUUCAACUAGGAGAGAAAUGAAGACUAGAACCUUGUUAUUAGGGUUAAAAAUAGUGAAAAUCUUGGUCUAAUAAUUAUUUUGAAUUAUAAUUAAGUCACUGUUUUGUGUGUUUUUUUUUGUUGUUGUUGUUGUUGUUGUUUUUUGAGACGGAGUCUCACUCUUUUGCCCAAGCUGGAGUGCAGUGGCAUAAUCUUGGCUCACUGCAACCUCCACCUCCUGGGUUCAAGGGAUUCUCCUGCCUCAGCCUCCCCAGUAGCUGGGAUCACAGGCACGCACCACCACAUCCAACUAAUUUUUGUAUUUUUAGUAGAGAUGGGGUUUCACCAUGUUGGCCAGACUGGUCUUGAACUCCUGACCUCAGGUGAUUUGCCCACCUUGGACUCCCAAAAUGCUGGGAUUACAGGCAUGAGCCACUGUGCCCAGCCACUUUUUUUUCUUUAGAGGCAAGGUCUCUUUCAGUCUCCCAGGCUGGAGUGCAGUGAUGCAAUCAUACCUCACUGCAGCCUCAAACUCCUGGCUCAAGCAAUCCUCCCUCCUCAGCCUCUGUAACAACUAGGACCGCAGGUGUGUGCCACAACUCUCGGCUACUUUUUAAUUUUUUUGUAGAGUCAGGGUCUUGCUAUGUUGUGUAGACUGAUCUUGAACUACUGGCCUCAAGUAAUACUCCUGCCUUAGCCUCCCAAAGUGUUUCAGGCAUGAACUACUAUGCCAGGCCUAUUUUCAUUUUUUUUCAUUUUUUUUGAGACAGAGUCUUGCUCUGUCACCCAGACUGGAAUGCAGUGGCGUGAUCUCGACUCACUGCAACCUCCCCUUCCUGGGUUCAAGCAAUUCUCCUGCCUCAGCCUCUGAAGUAACUGGGGUUACAGGCGUCCACCACCACGCCAGGCUAAUUUUUGUAUUUUUAGUAAAGGUGGCAUUUUGCCAUGUUGGCCAGGCUAGCCUCGAACUCCUGACCUCAGGUGAUCGGCUUGCCUUGGCCUCCCAAAGUGCUGGGAUUACAGGCAUGAGCCACCACGCCCGGCCCCCUUUAUUACAUGUUCUGAUUUAUAGUCUUUCUGGUAACUUAGAGUAUGCAUACUUGAAGCAUCAUCAAGAUUCUCAUCUAGAAGAGAAGAGUCAAAAAAUAAUAAUUUGAUUCAAAGAAAUAGUAAGUCUUAUGCCUGUAAUCCCAGUACUUUGGGAGACCAAAGUGGGAGGAUCACUUGAGGCCAAGAGUUGGAGACCAGCCUGGGCAACAUAAUGAGACUCCCAUCUCUACACACACACACACACACACACACACACACACACACACACACACACACAAAUAAGCCAGAAAUGGUGGCUUGCACCUCUAGUCCCAGCUACUGGAGGGGUGGGGAAGGUGUGUGAGGUGAGAAAAUAGCUUAAGUUCAGGAGUUCAAGGCUGCAGUGAGCAGUGAUGGCAUCACUGCACUCCAGCCUGAGUGACAGAGUGAGACCCUGUCUCAAAAAAAAAAAAAAAAAGAUAAGAAAGGAAAAAAGAAAAGAGAAAGGAAAUACUAAGUAUCUGUCACAUUUAUGUUAUAUGUUUUAAUGGCAUUGUCUCAUGGAUGCCUAGUUCUGGAAUAUUUAAAUCUUCUUGUUUCUUUUUUUAAUAUAAUUUUUCAAAUUUUUUGGCUAAUCUUCUCUGUAUCAUUCAAAUUUGAGUAUAUGUGCUGCCAAAGCAAGCACCGUUUCUUUACUUUUAUUAUACAGUUUAAAAUUCUGUCAACUUUUACUCUGUGAUGGCUCCCAGAUUUGCUUUAUUUUUUAUUUUUUUGCUGUUUUCAGAAAUGAUGUAUUUAGUUUAGGGCUUUAUCACCACACAUAUAGACUACUAGAAUAUCUUUUAGAUUGUCUCUUUUUUUUUCUUGAGACAGAGUUUCGUUCUUGUUGCCCAGGCUGGAGUGCAAUGGCAUGAUCUCGGCUCACUGCAACCUCCACCUCCUGAGUUCAAGCAAUUCUCCUGUCUCAGCCUCUCAAGUAGCUGGGAUUACAGGCACCCACCACCAUGCCCAGCUAAUUUUUGUAUUUUUAGUAGAGGCGGGGUUUCACUGUGUUGGCCAGGCUGGUCUCCAACUCCUGACCUCAAGUGAUCUGCCUGCCUCGGCCUCCCAAAGUGCUGGGAUUACAGGCGUAAGCCACCACGCCCGGCCUAGGUUGUCUCAUUUUAAAAUUUUAUUUAUUUUAUUAUUUGCCAAUUUAUUUAUUUUGAAACAAGGUCACCCAGGCUGGAGUGCAAUGGCGCUAUCAUGGCUCACUGCAGCCUCAAUCUCCUGGGCUCAAGUGAUCCUCCCACCUCAGCCUUUCCCCUGGUAGCUGGGACUAUAGGCACAUACCACCACACCUGGCUAACUUUUUUAUUUUUUGUAGAGAUGGAGAUCUUUUUAUGUGCUCAUAACAAGAGGCAGGAGGAUCACUUGCGCCCAGGAGUUUGAGACCAGCCUCUUGAACUUCUGGCUCAAGCGAUCCUCCCACCUCAGCCUCCCACAGUGCUGGGAUUACAGGUGUGAGCCACUGCACCUGGCUUUUAAAAAAAUUUUCUUCAAGUCAUCUUGCAUACUACUGUCUAGAAAUUGUUCCAGAAUAAAUUCUAAAUGUUUUUGUUUUAAAUUUAUAUUUUUAGAUAAUUUUUUAUCUCUAUAAGUUUGAAAUUACUUAUUGUUAAUAAUUUCCCUUUAUAUUGGGCAUACAGUGAAGUUUUUAAAAAGUAUUUCAUUAUUCUACUUGCUUAGUUCAGGCAUUCUUUUUUUUUUUUUUUUUAAUUUAUUUUUUUAUUGAUAAUUCUUGGGUGUUUCUCACAGAGGGGGAUUUGGCAGGGUCAUGGGACAAUAGUGGAGGGAAGGUCAGCAGAUAAACAAGUGAACAAAGGACUCUGGUUUUCCUAGGCAGAGGACCCUGCGGCCUUCCGCAGUGUUUGUGUCCCUGAUUACUUGAGAUUAGGGAUUGGUGAUGACUCUUAACGAGCAUGCUGCCUUCAAGCAUCUGUUUAACAAAGCACAUCUUGCACCGCCCUUAAUCCAUUUAACCCUGAGUGGACACAGCACAUGUUUCAGAGAGCACAGGGUUGGGGGUAAGGUCACAGAUCAACAGGAUCCCAAGGCAGAGGAAUUUUUCUUAGUGCAGAACAAAAUGAAAAGUCUCCCAUGUCUACUUCUUUCUACACAGACACGGCAACUAUCCGAUUUCUCAAUCUUUUCCCCACCUUUCCCGCCUUUCUAUUCCACAAAGCCGCCAUUGUCAUCCUGGCCCGUUCUCAAUGAGCUGUUGGGAACACCUCCCAGACGGGGUGGUGGCCGGGCAGAGGGGCUCCUCACUUCCCAGUAGGGGCGGCCGGGCAGAGGCGCCCCUCACCUCCCGGACGGGGUGGCUGGCUGGGCAGGGGGGCUGACCCCCCCCACCUCCCUCCCGGACGGGGCGGCUGGCCGGGCGGGGGGCCGACCCCCCCACCUCCCUCCCGGACGGGGCGGCUGGCCGGGCAGAGGGGCUCCUCACUUCCCAGUAGGGGCGGCCGGGCAGAGGCGCCCCUCACCUCCCAGACGGGGCGGCUGGCCGGGCGGAGGGCUCACCCCCCCACCUCCCUCCCGGACGGGGCGGCUGGCCAGGCGGGGGGCUGACCCCCCCACCUCCCUCCCGGAUGGGGCGGCUGGCCGGGUGGGGGGGCUGACCCCCACAUCUCCCUCCCGGACGGGGUGGCUGGCCGGGCUGAGGGGCUCCUCACUUCCCAGUAGGGGCGGCCGGGCAGAGGCGCCCCUCACCUCCCGGACGGGGCGGCUGGCCGGGCGGGGGGCUGACCCCCCCACCUGCCUCCCGGACAGGGCGGCUGGCCGGGCGGGGGGCUGACCCCCCCCACCUCCCUCCCGGAUGGGGCGGCUGGCCGGGCGGGGGGCUGACACCCCCCCCCACCUCCCUCCCGGACGGGGUGGCUGCCGGGCGGAGACGCUCCUCACUUCCCAGAUCGGGUGGCUGCCGGGCGGAGAGGCUCCUCACUUCUCAGACGGGGCAGCUGCCGGGCGGAGGGGCUCCUCACUUCUCAGACGGGGUGGUUGCCAGGCAGAGGGUCUCCUCACUUCUCAGACGGGGCGGCCGGGCAGAGACGCUCCUCACCUCCCAGACAGGGUCUCGGCCGGGCAGAGGCGCUCCUCACAUCCCAGAUGGGGCGGCGGGGCAGAGGCGCUCCCCACAUCUCAGACGAUGGGCGGCCGGGCAGAGACGCUCCUCACUUCCUAGAUGUGAUGGCGGCUGGGAAGAGGCCUCCUCACUUCCUAGAUGGGAUGGCGGCCGGGCGGAGACGCUCCUCACUUUCCAGACUGGGCAGCCAGGCAGAGGGGCUCCUCACAUCCCAGACGAUGGGCGGCCAGGCAGAGACACUCCUCACUUCCCAGACAGGGUGGCAGCCGGGCAGAGGCUGCAAUCUCAGCACUUUGGGAGGCCAAGGCAGGCGGCUGGGAGGUGUAGGUUGUAGUGAGCCGAGAUCACGCCACUGCACUCCAGCCUGGGCACCAUUGAGCACUGAGUGAACGAGACUCCGUCUGCAAUCCCCGCACCUUGGGAGGCCGAGGUUGGCGGAUCACUCGUGGUUAGGGGCUGGAGACCCGCCCGGCCAACACAGCGAAACCCCGUCUCCACCAAAACCAGUCAGGCGUGGUGGCGCGAGGCUGCAAUCGCAGGCACUGGUCAGGCUGAGGCAGGAGAAUCAGGCAGGGAGGUUGCAGUGAGCCGAGAUGGCAGCAGUACAGUCCAGCUUCGGCUCCGCAUGAGAGGGAGACCGUGGGGAGAGGGGGAGGGGGAGG